rnacentral:lncRNA from 1 species
GAUCAUUAAUAUUGUAGUAUCGUGAGGAAAAAACCUGGUUAGAAACAAGGUCGUCUGUCCUUCGGUUAUUAGUUUAUAUAGAAAAAGCCUAUGUGACCAAAGUCACCUAGUUCUUGCGGAGCGUUAACAGGAUGGGAUUAAAGAGAGGAAAAAAUAGCGCUAAUGGAGGGGGACGAUUGGAAUUCAAGGAGCGGUUAAUCGAGAAGUGGGAGUAGGUCGAGAGGUCAGAGCUAAUCGAGGAGUCGAAGAGUAGAGUUGUAGCGUUGUAGAGUUGCGUGAUUUACUAGCGUAGCUGAGAGGUUGAUUUGUUGGCGUUGUCCAGUUGCAACUUCACUUAUUGAAACGCAAUUUGGUUAGCGUUCGACUCAUUGAAUUCCUGUCGAUUGAAUUCGAUUAUCUGAAAAUGAACUGUACUAUAUGAAAGGAAAAUCAUAGUAGAGAGAAUUGGUAUAAAGAAAUAUAAUCAUACGUCUACAACUAUUAAUACGUUGAAAAACACGCAAGUUUUACAGGGAUGCCCCGUGACGCCACGAUGAAUUUUUUAUUAUGCGAUACAUAUAAUGUUGAAAUAUUACCCACAAGAGAUGUGUUACGGUGUAUAACCAUCAUUAAUGAAUUUAUUUUUAUAAUAUUA